GCAGAUUUUUGUGAAUUUUUAACUAGCUUAGUGCAUUUUAAAGAUUGAUUACAAUGCCAAAAGUUGUAAAAAGUUCGGCUCGAGAAAUGAUAUUAAAGGUGGAGGAAUUCUGUGAAGCAGAACAUAAAAAUCAAGGUGUUUUAAUACCACUAAACAAUCUUCGGAAAUGAGUUGCCGCCAUAACAGGUGUGUCAGAGAAAACUAUAACAAGAAUUAGAAACGAAGGUAAAACAGCGGCAUAUACUUCGAAAAAAAUUGUAACCCAACAAUUAUGCAAUAAAACUGAA